UACGAAGGUGGCAAGCGUUGUUCGGAUUUACUGGGCGUACAGGGAGCGUAGGCGGUUGGAUAAGCCCUCCGUGAAAUCUCCAGGCUUAACCUGGAAAGUGCAGAGGGGACUGUUCAGCUAGAGGAUGGGAGAGGAGCGCGGAAUUCCCGGUGUAGCGGUGAAAUGCGUAGAGAUCGGGAGGAAGGCCGGUGGCGAAGGCGGCUUUCUGGACGGUAACUGACGCUGAGACGCGAAAGCGUGGGGAGCAAACAGG
rnacentral:rRNA from 1 species